AGUGAACGCUGGCGGUAGGCCUAACACAUGCAAGUCGAACGGCAGCACAGUAAGAGCUUGCUCUUACGGGUGGCGAGUGGCGGACGGGUGAGGCAUACAUCGGAAUCUACUUUUUCGUGGGGGAUAACGUAGGGAAACUUACGCUAAUACCGCAUACGACCUACGGGUGAAAGCAGGGGAUCUUCGGACCUUGCGCGUUUGAAUGAGCCGAUGUCGGAUUAGCUAGUUGGCGGGGUAAAGGCCCACCAAGGCGACGAUCCGUAGCUGGUCUGAGAGGAUGAUCAGCCACACUGGAACUGAGACACGGUCCAGACUCCUACGGGGGGCAGCAGUGGGGAAUAUUGGACAAUGGGCGCAAGCCUGAUCCAGCCAUACCGCGUGGGUGAAGAAGGCCUUCGGGUUGUAAAGCCCUUUUGUUGGGAAAGAAAAGCAGCAGGUUAAUACCCCGCUGUUCUGACGGUACCCAAAGAAUAAGCACCGGCUAACUUCGUG
rnacentral:rRNA from 1 species